CCUACGGGUGGCAGCAGUGGGGAAUAUUGCGCAAUGGGCGAAAGCCUGACGCAGCGACGCCGCGUGAGGGAUGAAGGUCUUCGGAUCGUAAACCUCUGUCCCCAGGGACGAAGAUGACGGUACCUGGGGAGGAAGCUCCGGCUAACUACGUGCCAGCAGCCGCGGUAAUACGUAGGGAGCGAGCGUUGUCCGGAAUUACUGGGUGUAAAGGGAGCGUAGGCGGGGAUGCAAGUUGGGUGUCAAAACUACCGGCUCAACUGGUAGUCGCACUCAAAACUGCAGCUCUUGAGUGAAGUAGAGGCAGGCGGAAUUCCUAGUGUAGCGGUGAAAUGCGUAGAUAUUAGGAGGAACACCAGUGGCGAAGGCGGCCUGCUGGGCUUUUACUGACGCUGAGGCUCGAAAGUGUGGGGAGCAAACAGGAUUAGAUACCCUAGUAGUC
rnacentral:rRNA from 1 species